GCCUGGUGGGCUCAGUGGGAAGAGCAUGUGACUCUUGAUCUCGGGGUUGUGAGUUUGAGCCCCACAUUGGGUG
rnacentral:tRNA from 1 species